AGCAGCUCCAGCCCACCCGGUGGACGGCACCAGUGCCCAGCGGCAGCCAGCCCCGUGCAGAUGAAAGAAAAAGGCCUCAGCCCAGGGCGGACGCUUCUGAGGUGCAGGUGCCUGUCUGUCAUCCGGCAGGAGCCCGCAGGUGGACAGCAUGGGGUCCGCACACCUGGGGACCGGGCGAGGGGUGUGGAGCGCCGUGGGGCACCCUGCAGCAGAGGACACGGCAUUGGGGCACAUCUGCCUGUGGACAGCAGGACAGCAAGAGUUGAACAGGACCCGGGGUGAGGAAAGAGGCACGCCGGUCACUCACUGAAAUAACCACGGAAACGCCGGAUUCAGCGGAGGCGUCCACCUGCCCAGGCGCUCCCCCCGGAACUUCCUCCUUCAGUCCAGGGACCGCGUCCAGCUCCUCCAGGGCCCGCGUGAAGCAGGCUCGCCCCUCACCUGGCAGUGACCCAGAGUCCUGGCUUAUCCAUCACUGUCAGGCUCCGAGAGCAGCUCUGUUCUGAAUGCCCGGCCGCUUCCGCCACACACAGGAGGCAACGGGGGUCCCCGUGAGACUGGCCACUGGCAGAGGCCUGGGUCAGGCUGAAAGAUGCCUUGCGAGAUGGGCACUUGCCAGCCUGCUCCAGCCAGAGCCCAGCUCCUUCCGAGAAUCACACGACCAGACAGAGGCUUGCUGAGAAGUGGGUGUCCUCCUCUCUGUCCAGCCCCAGCUGCACGGAAGCAAAGCCGGCCCCAGCGUAACUGAGUCCAGAGCCCAGCCCUGGGCACUCACCAAGGGCCAGGAUGAGUCAGUGCAUGGGGCAGGUGCCACCCCCACGACCUCAUUCCCAAGUUCCCUCUGUGUCCCCACAGCCCGUGCUGGCCAGGGCGGCAGGAGGGCAUGGCAGGUGCUCCCAGAGCUCGCUUCUCGGCAUGUUCCCACCACCCUCCCUCCCUGGUCCUGCGGGCUGCCGGCCUCAGGAUCCAGGUCGCCUUAGGUGGGAAAGUUGGGGCUGUGCCCCACCUGCCUUCACUGGCUCAUGUUGACUCCUUCAUCUACGAGACAGUCUGAGCUUGAGGCUUGGGAACUCUCCCCUGCCGGACCUAGCUCUGGGCCGUGGAUGCACAGAACCCUGAGCUCAGAGACCAGGAGAGGCUGGCACCAUGCUCCACCCGGCAGGUGGCUCCAGGUCGUCUGGAGUGCCCCAAAGCUGCAAGGCUGAGGGAGGCUCCCCCUCCCUGGGGAGGCCCAGGCAGCCCCUGUGUUGGAGCCAGGGUUGGUCCCUGACCCCAGGAGCUCCCUGUCCUCCCACACCUUCCACAGACCCGUCCCCCUCAGGGCUGUCUUAACUUGGGGUCACCCAGAAAUAGGUUUAUGGGGAGGCCAUCCCAGGGAACUUUCGCAGGAAUGAGGGCUGAGGCGGGGAAGGGCUGCCCUCACCACCGUGGGGGACUGCUCCAGUGAGAGGGCCAGCACGGGACCCUCAGAGUCCCACCCAAGGGUCAUGAGAGCCGGCUCAGAGGUCGCAGGCUGCUCCUAGGGCCUCUAGAUCUCUGGAGAGCUCUUGGCUGCAGUUUGCAGAUGCCAAUGGCUGGAGGUCAGCUGGCACCUCCCACCACAAUGGCCAGGGGACAACAACAGUGUGGGCACAGAGAUGGGCACCCCCCGUGUCCACUCGGCCAGGCCGCAGUGCCCAGCGGUACGGUCAAGCCCCGUCCAGAUGCCACCAUGGCUGUGCUGCAGAUGUGAUCGACAUGAACAAUUGGCUAAUUGUAAGUGCUGCAGAUCACCCUCCGAGAUGCGGCUGGGCCUCCACUGCGGUCGAAGGUGAAUGCUGAGGCUUCCUGGAGAAGGGCCUCUGCCCCAGGACUGCAACAUAAAAUCCUGCCCGGGCUCCCAGCCCGCUCUCCUGUGGGCCUGCCCUGCAAAUUUCAGAUUCAUCAGCCUGGACCAUCACGUGGGCCAGUGCAUUAAA